AGUGUGUGUAUGGGGACAGUGUGUGUAUGGGGACAGUGUUUGUGGGGCAGUGUGUGUAUGGGGGGCAGUGUGUGUAUGGGGACAGUGCUUGUGGGGCAGUGUGUGUAGUGUGUGUAUGGGGACAGUGUUUGUGGGGCAGUGUGUGUAGUGUGUGUAUGGGGGGCAGUGUGUGUAUGGGGACAGUGUUUGUGGGGCAGUGGGUGUAGUGUGUGUAUGGGGGGCAGUGUGUGUAUGGGGACAGUGUGGGGCAGUGUGUGUAUGGGGACAGUGUUUGUGGGGCAGUGUGUGUAUGGGGGACAGUGUUUGUAUGGGGGAGGAGGAGGGUAGGGAGGUUUUUUAAUA